UUUUUAUUCCGGUGAGGCGCUGUUGAGCAACACAACGAUUGUUUGACAUUGACACCUCUUUUGCUUUGAAAGGCAACUUUGCACUGUAAUGUCCAUUUUGCACCUUGACAGAUUGUUCCAUGGUUUCACUGAACUUCGCCUCUUCUCUUGACAUUUCAGUUUCGUCUUCAGCAGCCUUUUCAUUAAAAUCAUGUUCAUACUGCUUUUCCAAUAGCAGCUCCAGACACUCAACAGACACUCUGUUCACAGUGGCAAAAUGGCACUUGUCAUGUUCACCUUUCCAUUCCCCUCUUGAGCCAUUGAUAACCCACCCCAGUGGGGUUUUAAUGGCAAAGGGUCCAUCACCUUGACUGUUUACAACUUCCCAUGGCUCCAGCAACGUCGAUGCGUUCGUACCAAUUAACAGCUCUACUUCUGCAUGGAUUUCAUGGAUGUUGACAUUGUUAAGGUAAGGCCAUUUUCUAAGUGUUUCGGUGGUGAUUAUGUUUGCUCUAUUAACUGGCAUAGUUUUUUGUGUGUAAACGCUUGGAAGACUGUGGUACCUUUUUCCAUUCAGGCCAGACACUUCAUGUUCGUUUACAAUGCAUGUUGACACCUUUGUCUUUGGGCUCAUGGUUAACAAACAUAUCUUUGUUUUCUUUCCAGUCAGGUUCAGCUUUCACAUUAAAGCUUCAGUGCAGAAUGUGGAUGUUGAUCCAUUGUCCAAAAAUGCAUAAGUCUGAAUGACUUUAUUGCCUUUUUUUGCUUUCACUUGAACUGGAAGGAUCUGGAGGAAUCCAUUGCUACCGGCCCCAGUAUGACCUCCAAUGGCUUGACUUAUGGUCUUAUGUGUCCAUUUACAUUUGUAUCAGUUUUUCAAUGAUUGUAACAUCAACCUGCCCAGGGACUACUGGUGGAAAUUAGCAUUUUUGCUAUAACCAGGUACAUUGCAUCUUUCCUUUUGGUCAAUGUAAAAUUGUACGCUGUCCCUGUAUAAAUAAAUGCAUACCAUACCAUACUUGACACAAACGUGUUGUUGACAACUGGUUCUGAUUCCCAAGAGUGCAUGCCAUUGGUGUUCACUGCCCUAUCAACCUUUUUCUUGAUUUUAAUAUGCAAUGCUGUGGGAUGGCUCUGUUUGCAAAUUUUGCAGAUUAAUCGCUGGUUGCAAUUUUUGCUCAAAUGUCCAGUACUGAGACACCCAAAGCAAGUUUCUUUUUCCUUCAGGAAGCUGAUUUUUUCCCUAUGUGUAAUCCUGGAAAAUUGCUGACAGUCAUUCAGAGCAUGCUCCUGUACACAGAACAAACAGUUCUUAUUGUUGUUUGGUGUGGGAUCUUUGGCUUCCUUGUAUUUGUUGGUUGCACAGACAUUUGUUGCAAAGUUUUCUCGUUUCCAUUUUGGUUUGAUUGAUGGCUUGAUUGUAUUCACAUCCUUUUUGAUAUGUCUUCCAUAUUUGGUUACUUGGAUAUCCCCAAAAAGAGGAUUAGACAACAGUCUAACCUGACGUUCCACAAAUUCCACAUCACUAAAGUUUGGUGUGCGGUUUUGAGUUUCUCUAAUGUCAAAUGCAACAUUUCUAAAGCGUUCCCUCAGUUUAAAUGGAAGUUUCGAUACAAUGAUUUUGAAAUUUGCACACGUCUAGUUCUCUCAUGUCAAACAAAUCUGACAUUGCAUUAUUGCAGCCACGAAGAAAUAAAGUGUAAUCUUGAAGCGCUGAAACAUUUUCAACCUUAACAGCAGGCCAGUUGAGGACUUUGUCCAUAUAAGCUGCAGUGAUUCUGGUUUCAUUACCAAAAUGCUCCUGUAGGAGGGCUUUAGCUGUUUCAAAGCCUCUGUCUGCACUCAUGUGUAAACAACUUUGCACAAGCUCUCUUGGACGCCCUUUGGUGUAUCUUUCCAAAUAGUACACGCCCUUUAGUUGCACAGUUAUCUGCAACACAGUGUUUAAAGGCUUGGAUGAACAUCUUACAUUUUAAAGGAUCUCCUUCAAAGACUGGUGUCUCUCUUGGUGGAAGGUGACUUGACCUCUGUUGUUGUAGUAGUAGUUCAGAUACUUGAUUUUGUUUCUGUAAAAUCUGAAGCAGGCUGUUAUCAGCUGUAUGUGCAACAGUUCCAUCCUCUUUUCCACUGCUUUCCACUUUUGACACAGACACAUGCAAUGUUUUAUUUUCUGCCAAAUCCGUGGACCUUGCAUCAGGAUGAACAUUUUUUUGCUUUAGUUCGUGCUUCUCAAAAUAGGACUCCAUUCCAUCCUGUUCUGCUGAAAAUGCUUGUAAUACAGACAGUUCUGCACCUGCAGCUUCAAUCUGAGCCUUGAGGUCUUCUUGCUCCAUCUUUCUGCGCAAUAAUUCAGCGUGUGUUUCCAGUUCAUGUUUCCUUUUUAGUGAAUCUGCACGUGCCAGCAGCGCAGCUCUUUUGGCUUCAGCUUGUGCCAUUGCUACUGAGGAUUUGUUGGACCUGUUUGAUCUUGCAGAUCCUGCGCUGCUUCUAGUUGAGCAUGUUGUUGAUGAUCCAACAUUUGAUAUACUGUCCAAUGGUGUUAUUUUAUCCUCAGUGCCUUUCACAGCUUCUUCACGUGCACACUCCAAAUAUUUUGUGACACUCCGUGAGACUUCAUCCACACCAAGAAGUUUUGCCUUGAACCAUAUUUCCAGUUUUUCUCUUUCUUCCACAGGUAGCAGCUUGAGCAGAGCAUCAUGUGCACCUUUUGCAUCAUUAAGCAGCACUUCAUAUUUGUUAAAGUUGCUUUCUACUUCAGCUUUAUACCCAGGCUCACACAAUAACUCCUGAAUUGUCCUUUUUAAUUCAGCAGCUUUAUUAAACUUAGAUUUUCUUGUUUUUUCUGAUUCUCCUAUUUUACAAAGCAGUGCUUUUGUAGUAAGUUUCACUUUUCUUUUUGUGACUGAUAGUGAAGCCUCACAACAGUCUGAGAUUCAGCAGUUACUUCUACUGCCUCAGUCAUCCUUUCACACAAAUAAGCAUCGUUACCUCGAUUAUCAGUUUGAACCUUCAAACCAUUUUUUGUUUCAGACAUUUUUUCACCACUUGUUCAACCACACACAAUUUUCCAUUUAAAAGUUGCUUUUCAUAAGUUCACACCAAUACAACAUAAAUUAUGUCCACAAAAACAAAGUGUCUUCCUUUGAAGUAGUGUCUUGGACUUAAAUAAAGUUGUUUGUUUUUUUACUUUGUUCUGACCCAAUGCAUUGGUAUUUUAAUAGAUAUUUGUGUGCACACUUUAUAUAAUGGCCAUAUGUAUGUGUGUGGUAGCUACCAUGUACCUCCUUUUAUUUGACCUCGAUCCAAAGGAAACUUUGCCUCGUCUGUUCGCUGCUGCUCGCUGCGCCGGAGUCUCCUAUCUCCGUCCGCCGCCCGCUGCAUCGCGUCCAGACGUCCACACCUUGCCAAUGGGUGGUCCACUGCCCGGCCCCGGUCUCCGGAUGCUUGUCGCUGCGCCCAAUGCAGCUGUGACUCCUCCUGUCGGGUCUCUCCUGCAUCCUGCCGUGACCGUGGUGAAGAUCAGCGCCGUCAGAACCACAGCCUCUUGAUUACUGGUGGAUCACAGUGUUGCCUUCGCCAUCUGAUCCACGACUUACGGUUUCCAUAUGAUCAAAUACAGAUUGUUUCUGACUAAUUGUUGACGCAAAUUUGGCUCUGUUAAGUACGCGUGGCUUUCUGGCCACUCUGACGUGCUCUUGUCCUCCUUAGUGGUCCAAAAAUAACACCAGUAGAGUCUAUUUAAAAAGUAAUAGUCCAAACUCACAAUUACGAACAAAUUCAUGAAUUUAUUUACCUUCUGGAGUUCAUCAAACUUAACAAAGAGCAAAGUGUUUCCAAUAAACAGUCCGUCAUGCCACGCCACGAUAAACCACGGUCAAAAACUAUUCACCUCAUGAUUUGCGCCACACCUGUGGCAAUUAGUGUGGCCUUUAAAUACACAGGUGGAUUGCUAAAUUCCUUGGUGUUUCAAGACGGACAGUUUACAGAAGGAUGCAAGAAUUUGACUUGUCUGUGAGAGGAACAUAGAGCACAAUGACUGACCAAGAGCUUGACAUCAUCAUUGUCAGAGCCCUCUUCUCACCCUCUUCCUAUCUGGCAUCCAAAUACCCUUUUCCCAUCUGUCUCUCACCUUUUUCUCUCCCUCUUCCUCUCUCCCCAGCAAUGCACUGAGUGGAGUGCAGACAAGCCUGCCUCCACUCAGGUAAUCAGCUGGAGCUUGUCCCACUAAUCACCUGCCUCUGCUACAAGAAGACCGGUUCACUCCUCCAUUCUCAGCCCGAUUGUUGUACCUGACAUACCUGUCAGUCACACUCUAGCCGCACAGUAGCCCUGCAUUCUGUGAAACGUUGUUUAACGCGUGUUCUCUUCUGCCUUCACCUAGAACCUGGCUGUCCAUUCUCCUGCCUGCAGUACUCUGUUUCUCCACUGGAUCCUCCUGUCUCCGAUCAGCCCGGUUCGUCCCUCAGCCCUGCCUGGAUCAUCUGCGUUGCCUUCCCUUCCCCUUGACGUCAUCCCUCCUGGACUCCGUCCACAAUCAAACUCUGCCGCUGCCAGGGAUCCACCUACCACCUGCCGCCACACUCAGCUCCCCUCACGGAACCAACGACGGCCGCCGAUCCCCGGCUCCCCUCCUCCGGAACCAGACCAACCCUCCACUGCCUGCUGAAUACACCCUGGACUCAUUCUCCCCGCUAAUAACGCAUCCAGCCAAUAUAUCUCCUUCUCACUCCAUCUCUGCCUCGGUAGCGUGGUUCCUCUGCUCGAGUCCAGCCAAAAUCCGUAACAAUCGUAUCAUCUAUUAAAAGACAGAUACCAAAUACUGGCUAUUGGUUGGUCCAAGGACAUUUGGUUUCAAUGGGUCUGCGUGUUCAGUGGUGGAGAAUGAUGGCUUCAGUGCAUCGAGUUGAUGCUGCUGUGAUCUCCUCACUAAACUAGGAUGUGUUGUUGGACAAAGUUACUCUGUGCAAGGCCCUCUGUUCCUGGUCCACACUGACACAAAUCAUAAACUCAUAAGGUCUUGUACUUGGAUGCUGCAACAAACAAAGCACAAACUGCAUUCUCAUUCUUCAUCACAUCGGUCCAGCUUCAUGGCUUACCGUCAAGGGUUAGGGCAGAUCAGGGAGUAGAAAACCUGGAUAUCGCACAUUUCAUGUUUGCCACACGAGGAACAGGAAGAUCGAGCUUCAUCUCUGGAAAGAGCUGAAGAAUGAUGAAGAUGAUGAAGAAAAGAGUCCAUAAUCAGAGAAUAGAGCGACUGUGGCGGGAUGUCUGGGUUGCAGUCACUAGCAUGUACCAUGACAUUCUUCACUCUCUGGAAGAGGAUGGUCUACUUGACAUAUCUGAUGCCACUCUUCUCUUUGGUGUGCACGACGGCUUUGUCCCCGACUCCGGGCAGAUCUUGAUACCUUUAUUGAAGGAUGGAAUAAUCAUUCUCUGUGGACAGAGGGAGGUCUCACCCCUGAACAGCUGUGGUUCAUGGGACGUCUACAAGAUCUGGACGAGGGGGAGAGACUCAAGGACCUUCAGGACCCAGGCGUUGACUGGCAGAGUGCUGUGCUGCAGGAAGACUCUCAUGGCACAGUUGUGGUUCCUGAAUUUGAGUGCCCACUGGAUGAUGAAGCCCUGGAAGAACUUCAGAGAACUAUCAACCCUCUGGAACAUUCAGAGUCACAUGGUCGUCACUUAUACUUAAGGUUCUUGCAACAGGUGUCCAACCAAUAGACAUUUGGACAGGAACUUGAAAGUCAACAAAUAUUCCAGCACAGUGACAAAAUGAUUGAAGUUUUUCUAACUAAUAAAAGCAAGAGAACCCUGUAUAAAAGGGAAUCUGUAUGACUGAAGAGGAAGUCAAACACUGAGCUAACAGGAACAAUUGUUUUGCUUUUUUCAUUAGCUAUGAACAUAUUCUAUCAGUUAAUGUUUAGAAAUAGCUUCUCAUUUUUUGUUUCAGAUUACCAGAGGGCUGUUUCUGUUAAACUCUGUGGAAGCCACCAUCUAACUGCUUCACUCAUAAGUCUUCUGAAUUCAGUGUAAGUGUUGAGAUGCUGCACUGGAAAAGUUACUGUACGAGUGCAUGCGCUCACAGUUUGGUAACAAAUGGAGUGAUCUCCAAGUCGCUCCCUGCAGUCGUGGUCAAACAUGAAUAUUAUUUUGAAAUGUCUCUUUUCAUCAGGGAGGAUGGGAAUGUGGGCUCUUCAUGCUGAACUCCAAGAGAGUGGCUCCUCAACUGCAGCACUGUGAGGUUUAAAAUAUAAGAAAUAAAACAUGUUACAAACAA